CUCAGUAAAAUGAUCCGAACCGCUCGUCACUAGUCAGGUGACAUGACCGCGCACGCGCAUUAAAAUUCUUCCUGUUCCUCACUAAUAUACUGUUUAUUUCUGUUUUAUUUAUGUCAUAAACUAUUUUGCUCGUGUUAUAUACAAUGGAUGUGAGCUGAUGAGACACAAGCACUUGGCUAAGGACCAGGCUCCUGACCUGUUCUCUGUGGAGCUGGCUGGUAUGGAGGAGCUCGCCCGGCGCCACGGCACUGACUCCGCCCAGUUCCAGGACGCCCGAGAGAUUCUGGUAGCAGCGCUGCAGAAGUUCGCCGAUGACGUCUUCGGCGUUUCAGCAACGCGGUGGUGGAGGUGGUGAUGGUGAAGACGUUCGAGACGCCACUUACCAGGAAGUCGCGCUCCAUCCUGGAGGCUAAGCAGAUUAGUAACCCGGGAAGCCCCUACAACCUGGCCUACAAGUACAACUUUGAAUACGCCGUCGUGUUCAACAUCGUGCUGUGGCUCAUGAUCGUGUUGGCUCUCGCCGUCAUCGUCAUCUCGUACAACCUGUGGAACAUGGACCCGGGCUACGACAGCAUCAUCUACAGGAUGACCAAUCAGAAGAUCCGCAUGGACUAACCGUGCAUUCCAUCGCAGUGUUAUUGUGUAUUGUGUAUUGUGUGUGUGUGUGUGUGUGUGUGUGUGUGUAUACACAGGUUUCUCACUUCCAUUCAUCCCAUACGUCAAGUGUUUGUGUGUGUAUAUAGCUCUAAAACGUCAGUUUGUGAAUAUUUAUUGAUGCCUGCUAUUUUGUUGAAAAUCUAAAUGAAUACAUAUAUAAUAUACACACAGCGGAUGAAUGAAUUCGAAUGAAAUCGCGCUCACGUGUGGUGUGGUGUGGUGUUCCUGAUCUAGCUACACGUUGAAUCAGCUGUAUUUAUUAUUGUUUUGUUUUUUUAUUCCUGAUACACUGGACCAUAAUAUCUGAUACUGAUGUAAUGGGGGUGGGGUGAUGCACAAAAAUUGCAUGCAGUAAAACUUCACCUAGGUGUGAUGUUAAAACUAGGAGAUUGUUGGCGUGGUUUUAUUUGGAAAAGUCAGAGACAGUUGGUUAAAAAAAUGUUAGAAAUAUAAUUGUUUGAUCUGACACGCAGCGAUUGAAGGGCAAAAUGGUAGAUGUGAUAUUUUUAACUUGGCUUAACCUCAGCUCUCCAUCACCCGGUACGUUCAGCUGAAACUUCUUGUCCUCCGACCAUAAAGUGAACUUUAGCCGAAUUGUUUUACCGACAAGUGUAGAGGUGCAAAGUUCAUUUGUUACCAAAUAAAGACUUCUGAUAUGGUCACAUGUGCUAUUUAUUGUGAAACAGGAACUUGGACAGUUUUCCAGUAGCGUAAAAACCCUCAUCACUAUUUUACACACGUCUGCUGCUCCACAGACGGCAGAACUAACAAUUUGCCCUUUGUGUGUUAGCAAAACACGAGAAUUCUCAGACACUGCUUUACUAAUAUGAGUCCAGAGCAGUGUGUUCUUACAGACUCAAAUCUGGACCAAACUACAGUAGUGUCACAGCUGACACACACACACACUGUGGUUGAAUCACGUGACUAUUCCUCAUGGGCAUGAGGCAGUGGUGUGCUGUUUGUGGCUCAUUAUGUGUUCACCAUGAAUCUGAUUCAAAUAAUAACUGAAUAAAAAAACAGGUUCGGUAAAUGAUUAUGGAUUAAUGUAGAGAUUGUAUUCAGAUUUUUGUUAAAAAAGGACUCGUGCUUUAGCCGCAAAUCACACAUAGCAAAGCUCUUCCUGCCACUUCCUCUAAGGACAACGUGGCUUCGUGUCAUAAUCUAACCCAGAGCUAAAGGUGCAAAACCACAGAGAAGAAAAAAAAAGUUGUCUGCAUAAAAGUCGAGCACCUUGCACGAGCCGAGUGCGCUUUUUUUCCCUUAGCAGCUGGGACAACACCUGUAUCACAGACUUUUGGAGUUCGAGAGAAAAAUCAUUGUUUCCCAUUUAUUAAGGUGUUUAAGUAUACUUAAAAUUUAGAAUCUCACUUCUAAAUAAAUCAAGCUUUUAAAAUGCUAACAAAUGAUCCGAACUGCCAAACUUUGGGAGGCUUUGCUUGGGAAGCACAUCGUAAAAACAAAAAAGGCCACUUGUGUAAUCAAUUAACCAAUUAAUAACUGGCUCCGCCUCUUUUCUUGCGUGGAAUGAUACCAAACUGUUGGGGGGAGAACAAUGACAUUCCAAGUUGUCUUCCAAGAUGGCCGCUCAUAUACACGUACCGAGUAUCAGUACUGGAUCCGAACUCAAGAGUAAAAGUGGAAUUGAGUAAAUCCAGAGAUAAAUCCAUAACACCCCCCCCCCCCCCCCCCCCCCCCGCCUUUUGUAAAAUGUUUCUCAAAAUGGCUGACACUCUAGUCAGAACACUAACUAAACAUUAUCAGGGUUUGAAGCAUGACUCAUUUCAGUCCAAUGACUCACUUAAGUGGAUUGAAUCGUCCAAAUCAUCUCAUUAAGUGACUCUUAACAAUGUGAGUUUUUUGAUUAGCAACUCGAACAGCAUCUACAAAAGCACUUCUAUAAAUUUAGGCCUUAAAUAAAAUAAAAUAAAAAUAAAAAAGAUUUGUUCAUGCUCGUGAAUCAGUUCAUCUGGUUUUUACAAACGACUCAUUUGCGAAUUGUCCAUACACGGAAGCUGCAGAAACAGGCCUUCUUUAUGAAUAUGAUGAAACGUCACGUGUGGUCCAAGGUGUUGCGUGGGGUCACUCCGGGUCACAGAUUUACAAGAGCGUACGUGCUGUCGAGGUUAGCCGUCCUGACGGGUCCGUUAGCCGUCCUGACGGGUCCGUUUAACGCUGAACUGCACCUCGGUGUACUGAAAGAAUGAUGCGAUGUGACAGGAUUAAUAAAAGCAACUUUAACAUGUUAAUGCAUAUGUUCAAGACGCGACACGGUGGUGGAAAAAAAUAUUAAAUGCAGUGCAUUAGUGUGUGAAACUGAAGUAUGAUAAAGUUCACACACUUAUGGACGUGUCUGCAACAAACCAUGUUUUUUCACACUGCAGUGUAAGAGCAGAGCCGUCCUGGUGUGUGAACUGUUUGUAUUGUACAUAUAACCACAGCGCUGUAUGUACACCACAGCACAGGAAUUAUAAAGUGUACAAAUCAAUUGGAUUUUUAAAAGUAUUUUUAAAAUGUACUAGUAACAGGAUUAUUUCCAAAUAUUUAUUUACGCCUCCUUACUUUCAGUUCACGUUAAUCUAUUUAUGUUUUCAUCCUGUAAACAGUUUUUUGUUUUAUUGAGCACAUUAUCCAGAAGAUUAAUUACUAGUUAGCUAUAUAGUCGUCUUCACAGCCUUCGUUUUUGUCGAUAUGUUCUAAAGCGUAAACUGAAAACUGUAAAAGGUUUAUUUAUCUUUAUUUCAUUAUCAACGCAUUUUCUUUGUAUAUGAACAUAAAGAUAUAUUUGCAUUUCGAAUAUUUGCAAAUGCAUCGGGGCGUUUUAACAGCCGAGGCAUUUCUACGAACAUGUAUUUUAACAUGUUUUCCAGCUCGUGUAACUUUCUCACACACAUUAACACGUCUCGGUCUGUGUAGCACGAUGCAGCUUUCACACGUGGGACUUUCCGUCUUCGCUGCAGCAGUCACCGUACCCACAUCUACAACGACUCGAUCAUCUAAUUCAUCUCAGUGAUUACAGUAAACAACACUGAUGGAAACAGAGUCCACAGUAGACACUACCACACCCGGGGAUCUUCCUGAUUGCAGGACAGUUUAUUUUAUCAUUUAAUUUAAUUAAUCAGGUGAAAAUGACCUGAGAGUAAGCGCAUGAAGUUUUAAAUUGGAAAAUCAUUUAACGUAUUGUUAAAAAACAAUGAAACAAAAACAAAAGGCCAAAAGAAAGAGCAGUUAGCCUACCACAUGGCCGGUACUGUCCUGACGCGGCUGUAAACCAGGAUCUGAGGGUUGUGCUUGAGUUUUUCGACGUCUUCUGCAGUGACAUACUGUAAAAACAUAAAAAUACAGAAUUAACCCGGCGACACUCAGGACUUGGUUAACCGACUUUAUUAUACUCAUGAACGAAGCCUGUGUGUCAAUAGCUUUUAAUAAUAAAUUAUAGAAUAGAUCUUGUAUUUUCUCCUGUAUAAAGAACUAUUAAUGUAAUGAAAUUAGAUUAACUUUAAAAUCACUUAAGGUCAAUAGAUAAUCUUCGCUUCAGGUAGUUUAGACUUCAAGACCUAUUUAACAGGCCAAAAUAAAUGUAACUGAAUUUGAUCAGGUAUACAGUUAACUUCAUACACAAGGUAUAUUUUGCACAGUAAAUAUCUUAUAACUAUAAAAUAUGUCACAAGCAUGCAAUUUCAAGAACAUCAGUUUGGAAUUAAUAGACUUUUUAUGUAAUAAACCUUUUAAUAAUAUCAUUUAAGGUCAUAGACAAUGCUAAGUCAUUAAAUUGACCAGAUCAGUUGUGUAGAAUAUACUCAGUAUAUUCUCAAUUAUUGACAUGUCACCAGAAUACACAGUGAAUUAAACACACCUGCAACUGGAACGGCCAGAACAAAGAUCAUUAUAACUGAUAUGAGGAGAAUCGGCAAGAGGACGGCUUCUUUGUAUCCUGUCUCAUUCUGACAUGGCUCAGUUUCACACGUCUGAUUAUCUGGAAACAAUUGGGAAAAUUCAGAGUUUUAAUUCCACUAAGCACACUAGUUUAUCUACAAUGGAUUUUGUAUCAGACACGGAUGAAGGUCUACAUUGUGGGUUCUCAAAGUUUUAACACAGACAGGUACCACUUUAGAUGUAAAAUCAAAUUCCAAGGACGCCUUCGGUACAGCUUAUUAAUUGCAUUAGUAGAAUAGUAUUUUGCAAUAUUAAUAUUUUUCGGCACUGUUGAGAUUUCUGUUUUUCAUCUUUCCACUGACAGAACAUAUUAGAUUUAAUGUAAUGGCUAUUCCAUUCAAGUGAGCAGUCAAACAGGCUAAUAAGACAAUAAUGUACUGUAUAUAAUAACUUGGAUAAUGGGCAGUUGUAAUUAUUAUUUUUUUAAUCACAUAAUUUAAAAAAAUCUCUGAAAAUCAGAAAUACUAUAAUUUUUUCAAACUAUAAGUUUUUGGAGUUGUCAAAAGAAAUGCAUACACAAAUCAUUUCUACACUGGAAUUGAAAUAAAACAAAAGUCACUUCAAUCAAAAACCUGUUCAACACGGUUAUUAAAGGAUAUUACUGUAACUUUAAUUUAAAUAAACUCACCAGCUGAAUGAUUCCGGAUGUAAAGUCUGAUUCCUCUGCUGAUGUCGGGAGGUGAACCAGUUUGAGUUUGAAUACAAUAAUACACUCCUAAUUCAUUAGUACUGAUAUUGUGUAUAAAUAAACUGCUGUUAUAUUGCACUGAGUAUAUCUUGCUGAAGGUCAUGUUUCCGUAUACUGGCUCCAUGAUUCUACUCGAGUAAGAGCGUAAUAUAAACACUGGAGGUUCUGACGGCUUCAUCAGGAACCAGAACACAUCUCUUACAGACACCUCACACUUUAGAGUCACAUUUUGUCCCAAAUCUACCGACUUCUCUGUGAAACCUUCUGCAGCUCCACAGAACACAAGUAGAUCUAGUAAAAAAAAAACAACUCACAUAUUAAUGGUUGGAAUCCACUCAUCUGUUCAAAGAGAUAAAUAUCUUCUAAGGUAAAAUGGUGAAUUAACAACUUUUACUCACAGAACCAAAGUACCGUUGUCAUGCUGACGCUGGAACCCUGAUAAGAAGCACUCAAAUCGUUCUGCUUCAGUCAGGAAACACUUCAGUUGUGUUUUAGAUGCAGGAGAGCGGAAGCGCUCUGACCACAACUUUUUUCUAAAAUCUCCUUCACUCUUUAUUUGCUGAAAAGCAGCCUCAUGUACACCCACAGCAUUACAAUACCAAUUUACAAGAAAAAUACAAACCAUUCACAACUGACCACUGACCUUUUAUACCUCAGUGCUGUUGAAUACUCGAUUCUGACUGGUUGAUUUUUCCCCCUAUAAAGUAGUUCGGCUGCGAACUCAUGUUUAUAUUAAUGUGCUUGUUUUAAUACGUCAUUGUUUUUAUAGUCACAGCUCAUUCAAAGUAACUUGUAUGGUGAAUGCUCCACAUAAACACAUUUAAAACAAAGAGUAAUUGUUCAUAUGAUGAACUUUUCUGGAAGGAGACGUUUAUUACACCUUUAUGGAGUCUCCAGUGUCAGCACUUUGUAUCAAUCAGAGUUGAAACUGUGACUAAGUUUUAACUUUAAGAGAGAAUAAAAAGAGAAGCUGGGGAGGAAACAACGUUUAAUAGCUGCUGUAACAUGCACCAAUCAACCAUAACAUUAAAUCCACUGACAGGUGACAUGAAAUAAUAACAUUAUUUCAAUACACUGAAAUAGUGUAUUGGAAGGUGGGGGUGGUAAUAUUUAUUAGUCAGCAUGUGAACAGUCAGUUCUUGAAGUUGAUGUGCUGGAAGCAGGAGAAAUGGGCAAGCGUAAGGAUCUGAGUGACUUUGACAAGGGCCAAAUUGUGAUGACUGGAAGGCUCACCUUACGUGCAAAUAUCGAGCUGCCAGUGUAGAAUACAAACACGGAGGUGAGGGCUGAUCGGCUGACGAUGGUAACUAAGUUAUCAAGGCUGUUAGUCCAUACCUCAACCAUGGGCAAAAAAUUUAGUCAGAUGACUUUACUUUCCUUUGCUCUAUUGCCUGCACAGCAUACAUAAAGUAUUUCCCCCACUCCAACACGUUUUGUACUUUGUAGAUAUCAUGUCACCAAAAAAACGAUGAGACAUCAGGAGCUUUUCCCCACCCAAAGCGUAAGUAAUCGGUAGUAAACUAACUGUCCAGUAGACACAUUGAUUUAAAAUGAAAACCUGUUAGCGACCAAACGUCACCAGCCUUGCACUGCGGAAAGUAAUGUCAACUGAUGUUAGUUAACCGUGUUCGCUAACCCUGGCUUUUGUCAUCUGCAGGCUAGCAGUCAGGUUACUAGCUGGAACAUAAUAUAGGUGCAUAUAUAAAAUUAUGUUGAGUUGAAUUUUAGUCUAGAAAUCCCAUGAAAAUGUCAUCAUUUAAUGAAUGAGUCUGCAGGAAAUUCAGCAGCAGGCUGCAGUGGAGCAGGAUGAAACAGCUGCGUCUGGAGGGUUUCAGGUCCUAAUUAUGAAUUGUAUUUGGGAAUUAUAGGAAGGCAUCAGCAUUAAAGCCAGUCCAAACCUACGCCCUUGGCUCGGAUGGUCCUUUUCCUCUUUGUCCCGGAGAACACAAGGCCGUUUUGUCCAGAAACUAUUUGAAAUGUCGACUCAUCUGACCACAAAACACGAUUCCACUGUGCUACUGUCCAUCUCAGAUGAGACCGAGCCCAGAGAAGUGGGCGGAGUUUCUGGACAGUGUUGAUAUGGCUUCUGCUUUGCAUAGCAAAGCCUUAACUUGCAUCUAUGGAUGCAGCAGCGAAUGGUGUUUCACAUCAUCUUAUUUCAACUUCUCACAUCUCUAUUAGUCCUAAAUUGCCCCGGUCCCAACUUUUUUGGAACGUGUUACAUGCAUCAAUUUCAAAAUAAACGCUUAUCUUAAAAAAAAAAAAAAAAAAAAAAAAAAAAAAAAAAAAAAAAAAACCCCUAUAAAUUUGAUUACAUAAAACAUGGAAUACUUUUGUCUUUAUACGUUUUUUUGUUAAAAAAAAGAAAGAAUAAAAAGUCAAAGUACAUUUACAAAUCUUUGUGAGGUGAGGUGAGGGUAAAAUAAGCCAGUCCUCAAACCAGUCCACCUGCUAUUCCUGUUUUCUUUUGUUUUUCCUAUUCCUAGGUCGGAAAUUCCAUUUCCCCCCGGUUUUAACAGUUUCCUACCACCAGAGGGCGCUUUUCACCCAUUCUUGUAUUAAUCGAAUUACGCUUGCUCUGUGCAAGAAAAUGAACUUUGUGAGGGAGUGGUUUAAUUCAUUAUUAAUUCAGAUUUUUUUUGUAUUAUUAGCCCUGUCUUUUUAUUUUAUUAAUGAUUUUAUAUAUAAAAAUUAACUCGUAUAAUAUUAUCCUUUUAAUGUGUAUGUGAUUGUGCCCUGCGACGGAUUGGCACCCUGUCCAGGGUGUACCCCGCCUUGUGACCCGUGGCCCAUGACCCAGAAAAGGAUAAGCAGUAUAGAAGAUGGAUGGAUGGAUAUUAUCCUUUUCCCACAGAUCACUGGCUAGUACAAGUUUAAUAGUGCUAGAAAAAUAUUUAUGUAUUCAUUCUAAAAAUCUUUGAAAACAUUGUUUGAAAACACAUCAGCAAACAUUUACACAUGUUUAUAUUUGCUUUAUAGUGUAUACUGUAGUAAUGUUACACAGUGAAAUACUUCAGUACUGUAAUUGCUUUGUUUACAGGUAAAGGGUGUACCUGGAUUCACCUGUCUGAACUUAUCACUAUGUCCUUAGUAAAUACAAUAUAACACAAUAUAAAUGUCACACUCUGUAAAUAAGUGCAUGCUGCUUUUCAGCUCUGCAGAAUUUCAGGUUUGAACUAAUUUGGCUGAUUGUUUAAUUAUCAAGCUUCCUGCAUGAUUUAGAUUAGGCGUGUUAGCAGGGUUAGCAAUGUUAAAGAGUGCAGGGAUACAGGGUAAGUGCUUCUGAAGUGUUUUGAGUCCUGUUCCUCUAGUCUCUCUUAUCUGCAUAACUUGUUUGUUUUGCAUGUUUUAUGUCCAUGGACAGGGCCGGGCCUGCAACCGGCUGUACCAGUUCAACUCGUAGAUCCCGUUGCGAUCGUAGAUAAUUAAACAUUGCAAAGAAUAAAAGAGGACGUGUAGGCUGCAACUCUUCAGACCACAAAACGUUCAGAUUGUAGAUUAAGGUACAGAUUCAAGGAAUGUAACACAUUUCACAGUUGUAUUGUAACACAAGGAGGUGAUAUAAAAAUUACAAUUCUGAAAUUUUGCUCAAAUUUGUAUUUACCACCACUACGCUGUAAGAUACAUCAUAUGUAUUUAUUAUUUUAUUAUUAUAAACCCAUUAUUUUGAUAAUGUGUAUGCACGUAUGUGGUACCACAUAGGAAAAAAAACUCAUUUAUGGUCUUGAUUUGUUUCUCAAAGCAAUGCGAUUAAAAAAAUGACCGCAUUUGUACUUGAAAGCAGAGCCCCACUAUUCCAGUUGAAUGGCUUUGACCAAUGAUCAUAAAUGUCAUGGCUGUGUUUAUCAAGACUUUUUUUUUUAAACCCACAAGUGGUGAUCAGUUGUUCUCGGGAGAAUAACAAUGACAAAUUAUUUAAGCAGCUGUUAAUAACACUGAAUUCCGUUUAACUUUGGGACACACUAUUAUGAUGAAAUUUUAAAAUUGAUUAACAUUAUAUAAUAAACAGCAAUUACUGUUCCUCAGGAUUUCAACAUCUAUAGUACAAAUGUGAAGUUAAUCAGCCAUUCAAAAUGUACCCGAGAAAUCAUUCAUAAACUUCUGCAAGGAAAAUGGUGCAGCCACGCUCUGCCACAGUAAUGUUAGAAUUUAAUAUUAUAUUAAAUAGUUGUUCCUAACAAAAUGUAUUGUGAUCUCAAUCUCAAUUCAAAGCCAACAAAAUCCCGUCACAGGAUGAUGCCUUGUCCUGAAGGUCACUCUCUUACCUCUGAUGCACUCUGAUACAGGUUCACCAUCUCUCAGAAUAUAAAACCCUAACUUUUCUCUUGUGAAGUUUAACUUCUGAAUCAACAUGAAACAUGGUAGGUGAUUCUUUUCUCCCUUUUUGAUGGUCUACUUUUGGUAGGGAUCACAUGCUGUGGAAUAACAUUGGCAUUUUCACUUCACAAUGAUGUGACGGAGGCCAGAGAUCAACCAUUUCCAGUUAGAGCUGGCAAUUUACAGUAAGCAGCCAUUCAUAUUCAGUGCUGGCCCAGAAUAUCCACUGCUGACGUUCCCUUUAUAAGUCUGGAACUGUUUUGGUUUUGACUCUAGUCAGAUGUAUAGACAGUGAAGUGGAAAGUGGUUGGGUGUAAAUGGGCAAUGACAAUAGACAGGAAUAGGGCUGAGGUGAAAGUCCAGGCUGAAGAAACCGUUCAGAAGGACUUGACCCAGAUGUACCGUAGCCUAUGUCCAGACGCGAGGAGUGUGAACAGUCCGUGUGAGGGGUGAGAGGGAUCCUGCAUGAUGCCACAGAUGAUUGGGGUGAUUGCAAUGGGGCAGUAGUCAUUAAGGCAGGUAACUCCCUGGUCACUGGGGGAGUUCCAUUCCUUACUGCUGCAUCCAUGUUAAAUACUUCAAACUGGGUGUAGAAGCAAUAUAAUGUGUCUGGAAUGGGGGUAUCAUUGAUACAGGCAGAAGAUUGUUUUUCCUGUAAUCAGUGAUGGUCUGAGCUUCUUCUACACCAGGAAUGUACCAGGAGUCAGCUGAUGAGGUGUUAAGAUUCACACAAACCUGACCAAAGGGAACAAAUGUGGUCAGUGGUUUCCACUGGAUUUCUAAGGAAUGAAAAUAAGAAACAGGAAUAAGCAGGAGUGAAAAGAAAUGAUGCAUAAACAAGGGAGAAGUGUUUAAUUGUUAGAGGAAUUAUGUCACGUUUCAAAGAUGGUUAUGGAAGCAAUGGCAGAUUUCCAAACAAUUUAAUGAACAAACGAUCAACAAAACAAAGACACAAAGACAACUCAGCAAAAUACAGUGGCUAAGGCUAAACAUAAACUAUCAAACCAAACAUGGUACAGGGACACAGGUCAAGAAGACAAUUACGUGAGACAAAUACAUUUUAGGAACACUGAGGAAUUUUGAAAUUCCUUUGGCUACCAUCCACAAUCUAAACAUGUACAUAAAUAAAUUCAAAGAAAACAAAUAAAAAUGUUUUAAAUAUUAAAACAUUCGUGGAUCAGCAGUUCUUUUAAUUAUUUCAUUAAUAGGACAUCUAUUUUUUGAAGAAAACCAUUCAAUCUAGUAUGGGUCAUUUUGACCCCCUUUUGCAUUCGUGAAGGUUUUUUUGGUUCAUGCACUGUAGGGUUAAAUAUCAAAAAUCUAAAAGGUGUACGUCAUACCUAACACCUAGUCGUAACACUUUACAGUUGGUUGUGUGACUGUACAUCAUUCCCUUCAAAUGCUGUAAGUAAGCUUUAAGUAAUGGUAUAUUUUGUGUAUGAGCCCAUGUAGUAAUAAAAUACAUGUCUAAUUUAUAUAUGAUUUAAUAGUUUAAUUUGUUAAAUAUCAGAAAUGUAACAGGUGUGCGUUAUACCUGACACCUACAUGAACACUUUACAGUUGGUUAUAUGACUGUAAGUCAUUCCCUUCAAAUGCUAUUGAAGUUAGAAUCGUGUUUAACAAUGUCGUGUGUCACUUUAGAGACGGUCCCUUAAUUUCCGCGAAUAUCGAACAUCUUACGUCAAGCCAUCUUUAUUCCAGUUUAUUAGGAACUGUCCCCGUGUUGUACGCAAUGAAUGUGAGCUGGAUUUUCUGCUUCACCUUCCUGCUUCUGAUACACACAGUGUCGGUGCAGAGUGUCCGUGUUGAAGGUUUUAUAGGAGAAUCGGUGAUCUUACCGUGUUCAUUUGGAGAGAAGCCGCAGACUGUGUAUUGGCGAGACAAAUACGGCUGGGUGGUGUGUGACAUCAUUCACGGUGAAGCAAAUUUAAAAAAUCAGAAUCCAGUCUAUAAAGACAGAGUUAAAAAUUUUUCCAUCAGAAAUUGAAAAGGGGGAUUUCUCCAUCAUGCUGAGCAAUGUGAAGGAAUCUGAUGCAGGACUGUACACCUGCAUCGCCCCUAACAUCAAGACCCUGACACUAGAACUAACUGUUAAAGCGAACGGUGAGUCCCCGAGACGUGCAGACGGUCUGUUAACGUUCCUGCUGGGAUGUGCUCUGCUCUACAGCUUAAACUUCUGAAGAAAACCCCAAGCUCCGUGUGUGCAUUAUCUUCACAUACAGGCGUCACAGCAAUGUCUUUUACAAAAAGGUAUUAAAUUUGCUUUUUGGCCAUUACUCUACACACACUAAUCCAUAAAGACACAGGAACACAUGAUUUUUAAAAAUAUUUUUGCAAAGUGAUUAAAAGUCAAAACUGUAAUCUCAUGUAGAUAAGUAUUCACACCCUUUAUGCAGCAAUGACAGCUCCUGGUGUUCUUGGGAAAAAGUCAGUUUCUCCCAUUCUUCCUGUCAGAUUCUCUCAAGGACUCCAGUCAAGUUCUAAAGACAAUCAAAGCAACCAGGAUGCACCUGAACUCAGUUUGGAGCGUUUAGACACAUCAUAGGUCUGUCAUUAUGGAUUACUGUGUGUAGAUUAACGUCCAAAAAAACUCAAUUUAAUCCGUUAUAAUUUAGAGAAUUGUGUAAAAGCGGAAGUGUUUACCCUCUGUGUGUAUCUUACUGCCUCGGUCCAGUGAUUUUGUUUUUUGAUUCAUGCUACUUAUUUCAUUUUGUAUUUCUAUAAAAUAUAGAUGUGUUCAGAAGGACAUUUUGAUGGCUGUCAGAAAACAGGAACCACAUAGCAUGCACAAAUUUACAUAUACAUGCAGAUUUACAUUGGAAACAUUGUUCUAAUAAAACUGUGUAGUGUAGUACUGUUUUUUUAUUUUUAUUUGCUGUAUUUUACAAAUGUAUAUAUGAGUAGUAUCUGCUGAACAGUAAGGUGUCCUUGUGAAUGUAGCGUAAAUGUUCCUUAAGUCACGCAAUAAACAUUUCACUGCAUUUAAAAAAAAAAGUUUCCUAAACCAGUGCUACGUUGCAUUGAUAGUUUACUAAGUUGCUUUGAUAAUAAAGGAUCAGGGAGUGAAAUUAAUUCUGCUGGUUGAAUUAUCAUGCCUAUUAUUGAAAAUGUGCACCUGAUGGAACUCAUUACUAUGAUUAUGUUAUAAAGAACACGUCAUUUAGGCGCUGAUAAAUAAAAACAUGCAAUUGAAA